CUUGCAGUUUUGGUUUGCUAUAAACACGAAAUGGAUUGUGUUACGCUCGAAUUAAAUUUGAAGUUGCUAUUGAACUGGUUAGGUCGUUUCAUAUAACUGGAAAUGAUGGAAUCUUCUUACAUUAUUGGUCUCUAUUCAGUGUAUAAUUUGACUGAACACUAUUCUUUUUUGCUUUUUUUUUUUCUUCUAGCUAUACUGAGAUGGAAAUUGCUGUUCCAGAUAUUGAGAAUUUGCUGUUCCGGACAUCUGUGUAUGCUUACCUUUGCUUCCAUUAUGUAACUCGGUUGCAGGACAGGUAAAAAUCAAUGUACAUGCUAUGCAAUUUUCUCAUGUAAGAAGAUGAUCUGAUUUUAAGGAUGAUAUUAAAAGUACUACUCUUGUGGCUUUGCUUCGUCUGCUGGAAAGCUGUUUCGCAUUCAACAGCGUAUUUCUUCGUCACGCAAGAAGGUCUAUUCUUAUUGAAGCGACUUGAUGCUUUUUGCAUAAUGUGUGGCGCUUAUUAGUCUGUUUUCUUCUUGCACUGCCACUCUUUCUGUUUGAUGUAUUGGGGCUUUUCGCAAUUGAGUAUACCCGAAUUUAGUGUGCAAGAAUAGGAGUCCUACACUCUUCGGAGUCCCUAGAGAGAACUCUGCAUAUGGAGGCUGCUGAAUUUUGCAGUGAAUCAAAAAACGACUUUUCAUUCAUUCUUGUGGAUGCAAAGCCCUCAGUACCCUCCGCAGAUAUUAUAAACCCCUUGCACGAAGGUUUGGGAAUCCUGGAGACUUCAAGUCUUCCAUUUGAGGGUUUCUCAGUUCCAGACACUUUGAAUCUUGUUCAUGAAGAUUUCAGUCCCUGAAGCUUCAAAGGAAGUCGAUGCUGUCUCCCAUAAUGUGAACUUAAUAUGGAUGUGGCAAUCAUACAUGUCCCUGAGGAAGCAGAUAGUGUUUCCAACAGUCAUGAAAGUAGAAUGCCUGUAGUUAAGAUCAGGGUCAAAAGAUCUGCUACAAGUAGUGAGGCAGCGGAGGUCAAUAAUCAAGCUGUUGAAACUUGAAAGAUCCUAAGGUGGGCACCAUGAAAUCGAACAUGGGGCCACCAGUUCUUGUUUUUGUGGAUGCUCCCCAAGUUAUUCUGCUUAGGCAAUGAGCAUAAGCAAUUAGAAUCUCAAGGAGGUCAAUUCAUGUCCUGACCACGGCUCCAGAAUGACUGCUAGCAUCGGCAGUGCAAAAGUUGGAACUUGCAAGUGAAGGUGAAAAUUCAGGGAAGGACCUUCAGUGCAUUUGCAGACUUGAGCAAAGUUUUUGCACGCAGAUCGUCCCCUGGCAUCAUGCAAGAUAACAAUAUAAGCAAUGGGGCACAGAAAUAUGCAAGCCUACAAAGACCGUCCGUGCCUUGACAUGAGUUGAAUGUUGGUUCAUAUGGUAUGAUUUCUCCACCUCAUCAUGGCAAAGAAAAAGAGAAAAAGGGAGAGAAAGAAAAGAAACGGAAGCGGGAAGGCCACAUACAUCGAGAUGAUCCUGAACAUCUAGAGCGAAAGCGUCUGAAGAAAGAAAGAGAGCAAAAGGAAAAGGAGGUAGUAAUUGGCAAGGCUUCUGAGUGAUAAUAUGAAGGCAUAUCAGUCACAGUUGUAGAACAAAACAAGAGGAAGCAAGCAUUCAGGCUCGAACUGUGCGAUUGAAACCAAAUGAAGCUAGUGGAUCAGCCGUAGCAAUCACAAAGGUUGAAAGAAGGGCUGAGCCAUCUGAGGGACAACUAGCCCAGGGCGGCGGCAACAAUCAAUUCAUCCUUGCUUUCUUAUGACAUCCUGCAAAAAGAGUUGAUGAAGCUGUAGAAUGGGUCAUUUUGAUUUUUAUAUCACCCUCAAGUAAGGAUUGUUUUGUGAGUUUUCACUUCCAGUGUUUGUAUAUAUCUUUGCUUGGAGUUGAUUUCUCAUUAAUUCUUGAUUGUUUCUCAUGAAUCAAUGUUUUGAAAUUCUUGUAAUUGGAGUUGGAUUCAUGAACAGUUAUGGAGGGAGGUGGAACUAUGGGAGAUUAGUUUCUGCAUGUAUGAAGAAGACAAAUACACUAGGCGUUAGAAAAAGGGCUCUCACUUUUUUUGGCUAAGCUUUGUUGUACCAUCUCCUCAUAUAACCACUAAUGACUAAACACCUCGGUGUAACCCCUUGUCAUCUGCAGCUUUUAACUGCACAGUCAGUGUUAACACAUUGAAUAUUUGAAUGUGAA